rnacentral:lncRNA from 1 species
UGACGUGUGACUUCCGAGGCUAGAUCAUAAAAGGCUUCUUUGUCACUCACUCCGGGAGAAACUAACCACCAUGAUGUGAGGACAGUCUUUAUACACCAUGUGGAGAGGAGCGUGCCGGCCAUGUGUAUCUUGGAAAUGGGUCUUCCAGCUUCAGUCAAGCCUUUAGAUGGCAGCCGCAGCUGACGUCUGUCUGACUGACUGCAACCACAUGGGAGACCCUGAGCCAGAAUCACCAAGCUAAAUUGUACAUGAGUUUCCAGCUUACAGAAACGAAGGAAAACUCAAACUCAGGGGCUCAAGGACAUGUCAAAGGCACAGACAUAUGUUCCUGCAUUGAUCAAAUCAGGCUGUGCAGGUGGUUCGCUGCUCUGUGAAUGCAUAAACAGGGGGCCUGCUCUCCACGUGUAAACUGAUCUGGUGCAAUUCAGAUAGAAUAUAUUCUAGGACUGGUGCCUUCUUCAACUCAUGCAAAUAAAAGUGCAGCAUGGUCCAAAGUACUGGAGUCAUGAGAAGGCAUCCGUUUUCAAAUGUGCAAGAUGAAGCCAUCCUGUGAGACACUUGGGCAACUUGACUUUCCCAUGUGAUGGGUGGGGAACUCCUUAACGUGUCAACAGACUUUUACACUCUGUGCUUAGGAAGUCAUUGUUAGUUUAUUUUCUAGUAUUCCAUGUAAGUAAUGGCUUGGCUAAAUGAGAAGAACGGUUGAAAGGAUAUUAGCAUCAAAUCCAAACAGAGAGAGAUUAAACAACCUUCCCAAGGUCAUUGACAAAUAGGUACCAGAUCUCAUCUCCAAAUCUGCAAGUGACUUCACCAAGUUAGCUCAUUCUUUCUUCCUAGACAUCUUAUUUUCCAGGAAGUAGUGGAGGUCUAUGCAACUUUUGAAAAUAAGAAAUAGAUUUUA